UUUUUAUAGGCCAUCCCAUGCCUUCUUGUUUGUAUUCACAAUUGAGUUUUACUCAUGAUGCUUGUUUUCCUAUCUUGUGAUCUUUCCUUGAGUAUAUAUUGUGUUAUUGCUUCCUAAUGCUUGAGUGAUCUAUAUGAUUUAUAUAGAAUUCCAUUUUCUUAUGAAUUAUGGGAUUUUAUACCUCAUUUCCAUGUUUCAUCCUCACUUUUUCUUAACUUGAUGUUUGUUUCCAUUUAGAAGCAUGUUUAAGUUUCAAUAUGUCCAUCUUUUGCUCUCAUCUUUGAGUAUGGUUUGAUAUGAUAUCUUUGUGAUAAUUAUAGGUAUUUCUU
rnacentral:lncRNA from 1 species